UACGUAGGGGGCUAGCGUUGUCCGGAAUCAUUGGGCGUAAAGAGCGUGUAGGCGGUCCGGUAAGUCCGCUGUGAAAGUCGGGGGCUCAACCCUCGAAUGCCGGUGGAUACUGUCGGGCUAGAGUGCGGAAGAGGCGAGUGGAAUUCCUGGUGAUAGCGGUGAAAUGCGCAGAUAUCAGGAGGAACACCUAUUGCGAAGGCAGCUCGCUGGGACGUAACUGACGCUGAGACGCGAAGCGUGGGAGCAAACAGG
rnacentral:rRNA from 1 species